AACGAACGCUGGCGGCAUGCCUAACACAUGCAAGUCGAACGAGACCUUCGGGACUAGUGGCGCACGGGUGCGUAACGCGUGGGAACCUGCCCUUAGGUUCGGAAUAACUCCCCGAAAGGGGUGCUAAUACCGGAUAAUGUCUUCGGACCAAAGAUUUAUCGCCUUUGGAUGGGCCCGCGUUGGAUUAGCUAGUUGGUAGGGUAAAAGCCUACCAAGGCGACGAUCCAUAGCUGGUCUGAGAGGAUGAUCAGCCACACUGGGACUGAGACACGGCCCAGACUCCUCCGGGAGGCAGCAGUGGGGAAUAUUGGACAACGGGCGAAAGCCUGAUCCAGCAAUGCCGCGUGAGUGAUGAAGGCCUUAGGGUUGUAAAGCUCUUUUACCCGGGAUGAUAAUGACAGUACCGGGAGAAUAAGCUCCGGCUAACUCCGUG
rnacentral:rRNA from 1 species